rnacentral:rRNA from 16 species
CACAAGCGGUGGAGCAUGUGGUUUAAUUCGAUGAUACGCGAGGAACCUUACCAGGGCUUAAAUGUAGAUUGCAUUAGCUGGAGACAGCUAUUUCUUCGGACUAUCUACAAGGUGCUGCAUGGUUGUCGUCAGCUCGUGCCGUGAGGUGUCAGGUUAAGUCCUAUAACGAGCGCAACCCCUGUUGUUAGUUGCCAGCAUGUAAAGAUGGGAACUCUAGCAAGACUGCCGGUGCAAACCGUGAGGAAGGUGGGGAUGACGUCAAAUCAUCACGGCCCUUACGUCCUGGGCUACACACGUGCUACAAUGGUAUAGACAAU